rnacentral:pre_miRNA from 1 species
UACCCUGUAGUACCGAGCUGUGUUUGAGUGAUUAUGCAUACACGAUCGGUUGCCGGGUGAAU